CACGUAGGGCGCAAGCGUUGUCCGGAAUUAUUGGGCGUAAAGAGCUCGUAGGCGGUCUGUUACGUCUGCUGUGAAAACCCGGGGCUUAACCCUGGGCUUGCAGUGGAUACGGGCAGACUAGAGGUAUGGCAGGGGAGAAUGGAAUUCCUGGUGUAGCGGUGAAAUGCGCAGAUAUCAGGAGGAACACCGGUGGCGAAGGCGGUUCUCUGGGCAUUACCUGACGCUGAGGAGCGAAAGUGUGGGGAGCGAACAGG
rnacentral:rRNA from 1 species